UCCUGGCUCAGGAUGAACGCUAGCGUGGAGGCUUAACACAUGCAAGUCGAGGGGUACAUGGUUUUCGGACUGAUGACGACCGGCGCACGGGUGCGUAACGCGUAUGCAACCUUCCUUAUGCAGGAGGAUAGCCCAUGGAAACGUGGAUUAAUACUCCAUACUAUUAGUAUUAUGCAUGUAAUAUUAAUAAAAACUACGGUGGCAUAAGAUGGGCAUGCGUCUGAUUAGUUAGUUGGUGUGGUAACGGCUCACCAAGGCGACGAUCAGUAGGGGUUCUGAGAGGAUUAUCCCCCACACUGGUACUGAGACACGGACCAGACUCCUACGGGAGGCAGCAGUGAGGAAUAUUGGUCAAUGGGUGAGAGCCUGAACCAGCCAUCCCGCGUGCAGGAUGACGGCCCUAUGGGUUGUAAACUGCUUUUCUACGCCAAGAAAGGUCCCUACGUGUAGGGAAUUGACGGUAGCGUAGGAAUAAGCAUCGGCUAACUCCGUGCCAGCAGCCGCGGUAAUACGGAGGAUGCAAGCGUUAUCCGGAUUUAUUGGGUUUAAAGGGUGCGCAGGCGGGUUUUUAAGUCAGUGGUGAAAUACUGCCGCUUAACGGUAGAAUUGCCAUUGAAACUAGGAAUCUUGAGUGUGGUUGAGGUAGACGGAAUGUGUAGUGUAGCGGUGAAAUGCAUAGAUAUUACACAGAACACCGAUUGCGGAGGCAGCUUACUAAGCCAUAACUGACGCUGAGGCACGAAAGCGUGGGGAGCGAACAGGAUUAGAUACCCUGGUAGUCCACGCUGUAAACCGAUGUUCACUCGCUUGUUUGCGAUACACAGUAAGCGGCUGAGCGAAAGCAUUAAGUGAACCACCUUGGGAGUACGAUCGGCAGGUUGAAAUUCAAAGGCAAUUGACGGUGGCCCCGCACAAGCGGGAGGAACCUGUGGUUUAAUUCGAAUGAUUACGCGAGGAACCUUACCUGGG
rnacentral:rRNA from 1 species